UUGUACUCAUUUCAGCAACAUAUAUACUAAAAUUGGAAUGAUACAAAGAUUAGCAUGGUCCCUGAACAAAGAUGGCAUACAAAUUAAAUGAAGUGCUCCUUAAAAUGUGUUU